rfam:TPA: Bos taurus chromosome 4, whole genome shotgun sequence.
UCUCUGGUGGUCUAGUGGUUAAGACUCCACAUUUCCACUGCAGAUGACACAGGUUCAACCCCUGAUCAGAGAA